UCUGAGGAAAAAGUUUUCAAUUUCUUUGCUUUGUGUCGCUUAAAACAAUUAAACAUUGACGCGAACUCUUUUUGGCCGUGGCCUGUCAUAAAAGAAGCAGACAUGUCACGUUCUGGUCUGUGUGUAAUGAUGCAGUCAAAUUAUGUAAUUACGAUAUGCUGUCAAGAUUAAAAAUAAGUGCUUUGGAGACUACACAGGAUUUUGCUAAUCUAUGUAGGGUACGAGAACCAUUUGGAUGCCUACUGAGCGCAUUGUUUGAUGGCAUUGAAGAUCGACCUAGGCGCAUCUGGUGUCAAGUAUGAAGAAGUUGGCUAUCAAAUAAAGCAGAGCUGAGGGAAAAUGUCAAAGAGUAUCAGGAAACAUGUUUUAGGUCGCGUGGCAUUCCAUGCAAGAUGACUUCAUCCAGCAAUACAAGCACUUUGAGAACUGAUUAACAAAUGCUAUCCGGGUUUGGGUAUUGCAAUUGAGUUUCUCUUGCUGAAUUACUUUCAUACUUUUUGAUGAUUGCUCAACAACACUAAGUAGAAUGGGUGUAUUUCAAUCCAUUUAUGACAUACUUGAAGGUGAAUGGGUAUGUAGUCAGGAUUGUUGAUUUUUAGAGCCGUUCU